GCCUGGUAGGCUGUUGGUUAAGCGUCCGACUUUGGCUCAGGUCAUGAUCUCAUGGUUCGCGAGUUCAAGUCCCGCAUCGGGCU
rnacentral:tRNA from 1 species